rnacentral:rRNA from 1 species
GACGCAGCGACGCCGCGUGGGUGACGAAGGCCUUCGGGUUGUAAAGCCCUGUGGGGUAGAACGAACUGGCAUCGGGCUAAUAUCCCGGUGUCUUGACGGUACUGCCUUAGCAAGCAUCGGCUAACUCUGUGCCAGCAGCCGCGGUAAGACAGAGGAUGCGAACGUUGCUCGGAUUUACUGGGCGUAAAGCGCGUGUAGGCGGUCUCGUUAGUCGGGUGUGAAAGCCCCGGGCUCAACCCGGGAAGUGCACCCGAUACUGCGAGACUGGGGUACUGAAGAGGAGAGCGGAAUUCCCGGUGUAGAGGUGAAAUUCGUAGAUAUCGGGAGGAACACCAGUGGCGAAGGCGGCUCUCUGGGCAGAUACCGACGCUGAGACGCGAAAGCGUGGGGAGCAAACAGGAUUAGAUACCCUGGUAGUCCACGCUGUAAACGAUGACGACUGGGUGUUGCAGGUAUUGACCCCUGCGGUGCCGAAGCCAACGCGUUAAGUCGUCCGCCUGGGAAGUACGGCCGCAAGGCUAAAACUCAAAGGAAUUGACGGGGG